rnacentral:lncRNA from 1 species
AGCUAGCCGCGGCUGCCUCUCCCUUUCACUUCCUCGACCCCUUCGGGCUAGGAGGCCGGAGACGGGUGGAGCCGGGGAGCUUGAGAUGCCCGUAGCGGCGCCGCCGAGAUCCGCUCCAGACCCUGGGUUCUGCAGGUCGGGUGGAGCGUCCACCGGGCAGUGGAUUUAGCAAACACACCUUUGUGAGUACACACGCCACGGGGCGGGAGCAAACCCCACGGGCGCGCGCUCACACGGCCCAGCCGGCUGCAGACGGGCGGUGGACAGCGGCAGCGAGCGCGCUCGGUGCGCACUGGGGUCUGCGGCCAGGCUCGGACUCUGGAGUCCCGGAGCUCGGGACAUGCACCGCUUUCCCUGCGACCCUGGCGGCUCCAGAAAGGCCUGUUUUCCGGGGGCUAGGCAGCGAGGGAGAGCUGGCGAGCCAGGAGCGCACGCUGGUCGCUGGUGUGAGGGCGCGGGCGGAGACAGAGGAGCGAGUCCAGGUCUGAACCGAGAACCCUGCGGACAUUGUUCUUCGCACUCCACAGAGCUUGGUCAGGUCACGUCCACGCGCAGACUUAAUUACCACGUUAGACACCCUUAUUCUGCCCCACCUACUGUUUUUACUGUAAACAGUGUUAUAGAUACUGUCCUAUUGUUGAAGAUAAAAGGUAUCUCCUUUGACACUUUCUCAUCUUUUAAGGUUAUCGACUGCUACCCACCGCCUGCCUUUUAGCCUGGAUUUAAAAGGAAAGAGCGCGUCACGUUUUAAAGAAAACCGCCCACUCAGGGCCCAGGCGGUGGAGACCUUGAGUUCAAAGUCGGGCCUCCAUGAGCCCCAGGCUUCAGGUCACUGGGGACCGGACGCUGGCAGACUUUCCAUAGCUGCUUACUUGUUAGGAAAAUUUUGGUGACAUUAUGUUUUUGUAUAUCCGUCUAGCAUUUUUCUGGGCAUCUCCUCACUGCCAAGGAAAAGGUCUGGGCAGAAAACUGGAAGAUCUUUAUGGGUAGAUGGA